GAUGCCGUUGUUGGAAGCCGUGAAGACAUUUUGAGAAGUUCUCCCACUUUACCCCAUUGCGUUGAGUCUUGUCGUGUGUUAUAUGUUUUAUCUUAAAAUGAACUGUCAUCUGAAACCCUGAGGAGUAACAAGAAGGAAGCAGCAUGAGCUGGUCCUGGAGCCGUGCAUGGUGUCCUGGAAAAAAGUCGCUACAGCUCUACACUGUCCUCUGGUGUUCAGCAGGCCUUGAUUGCAUGCAGGGAACAAUCAGGUGUGGAAGGCAAAGAGGCAGAACUCAUCAGCCGUAAAUGCGAUAUUGUAUCCCACCGUCGACCACAUCACAAACAUUUACCUUAUGGUGAACGGACUCUGCGUGCAAGUGCAGCUAAGACUCUGCUCCAGCAUCGCCUCUAAAUCGAUGGUUGGACUGCAGACAACAGCAACACACAGACAAAGCAGCCAAAGUCGUUUCCACUGAUUGCAAGCUACACAGGAAGCCCAGAAAAGCUGGCUUCAGAGGCACAUCUCUCUGACUGUGUGUGUUCUACAUAUAUACCGUCAGCCAACAGGUUCUGAGGCUACCACUACCAGCUGCAUGAGGCAUGAAGAUAUACAUCUGCUCGUUCAUACACGGUUUUCCUGAAGUCAUAUCAACAAGGAAUACAGAGCAGGAAGAGAGAGAGGCUGCAGAAGUAGAUGAUGUUGGACAGAUACUCCGAUAACAGGUGAUGCAAACACAAGGAGGAAGAAGGCGCCACCCUUUUUAAUGCAGAAGAACCAUGAUAUAUGAAGAGGAGAGGGAUGAGUGGAGGAAGGUGUGGAGGCAAUGUGUUUCGGUGAGUAAGUGUCAGUCGACACAGGGAUCGUCUUCAAGUGGGUCACAGGGGCUGCAGGGACGGACAUUUAUCAUACAUGGCAGCAUAGCAUUGUGUAUGCAUGUGUGCAUGUAAAUCUCUCCCUAUUGUUUCUCCUCCUUUGUUUUUAAAGAAGAGAGGGAGGAGAGAGAGAAAGAGAGAGAGAAAGAGAGAGAGAGAGAUAGUGUUGCCUAUUAUUGUAAGUCAAGCAGCUCUGACAGGCCGCAGAUGUUUCAGUGGGUGAGGUGGGACUGCUCCUUCGCCUGCUCUCAUUCCUCUCACUCCUCUCACUCCUCUCGUUAUUUCUUUCCAUUCAUUGAAUAAAACUUCCUCUUUUCUUCUAUUUUUAGCCUUAAUUUUGUAAUUUCAUGUGUUCCCUGUUGACUGGAAGCUUUGUGUGACCAUGCUCAGUCAUAAAAGAGGAAGAGCUGUGCCACUGACAUGAGAAAAGCCUGUGUAUCUCUGAGGAAAGCUCACAUUAUUACAUGAUAUCAAACAUUAAAUAUGCAGUGAGGUAUAUGCACA